CCGCUUUUGCUUUUGUGUUUUUUCUUGUGGAAGGUUCUACCCCCGCAACAAACGACAAACACCAGGUGUCAUACCUGCUUUCCUGUUGAUUACGAAUUUACGAUCAUUGCUUGGCUGGUUGAUAUUUCUGUGGAUUUCUUGUUGAGAUAUACACAUUCCGAGGAUACAACAACAUAUGCUGGUGUCAUGUGGGAGGCUUUUGGGAGAGUAGGAUCCGUGUCUGUGCAAGGAUGUGUCAUGAUCACUAUUCCUGGGUGCUUGAUUAUUUAUUUGAUUAUUUUCGGGGAUGUAUCGUCUGGAAAUGUCCAUGAUGGAUCAAUGCACUUGGGUGUGUUGCAAGAAUGGUUUGGAAUUCUCGUGCUUUUGCGCUCCUCUUCGUUGUUAUUUUUGUUUACGCUUCCGCUGGUCUUGUUCAGGCGUGUGGGUAAGUUUAUUUUUUCAUCCUUUUAUUUUUAAUUUCAUUAUCGAACAAGUGAAGUUCAUCCGGCAAAAGAACUAGUAGUUUAUUAGAGGAUCAUGGUGAGAGCAGUGAGGCAAUGCUGAAGUUCCCAGAAAAUCUGGAAUUCAAUGAGGGAUCACACACAGAUUCUUCGGUUAAGGAGAGUGACUAGAAUGUUGAGAAAAUGAAUAUUUGAGAUUGGAGUUCAUUGAACCUGUUGAGAAAAAUUGGAGGAUGGGUUGUUCGAGUUAAAUAGGAUGUGGCUUCUGGAGCUAAAAGAUGGGGAAAUUUCGUUCAUGAAUAUGUUUUUGGGUGGUGAUCCACAGUUCAAGGCAAUGGACAAUUUCAUGGAAUUCUAGCGGAGGACAUGUAGAAAUGUGAAGUUGCAUAUAAAAUUAAGAGUUUUUAUUUUUGCUCUUUGAAACUGCUGAAUUCAAGCAGACGACACAAGAUCAAGAUCAGAUAAUCGAACAGAAGAUCAAUUUUGCGUUGAAAAAUAAUAUAUGAGAUUGCGUCAUUUGAUUCAUUACAACUCCUGGCUUGUAAUGUGAGAGAGAAUUGACCCAGGAUUUAAGAACAGGGGCGGGUAAGAUGAUAAUCCAAACAUUCUUGAAUCAGAUUCAUACAUCAUUGUGAAAG